rnacentral:rRNA from 1 species
UACGUAGGGGGCAAGCGUUGUCCGGAUUUAUUGGGCGUAAAGCGCGUGUAGGCGGCCAGAUAGGUCUGCUGUGAAAACUCGAGGCUCAACCUCGAGCUGUCGGUUGAAACCACCUUGCUAGAGUCCGGAAGAGGAGAGUGGAAUUCCUGGUGUAGCGGUGAAAUGCGCAGAUAUCAGGAAGAACACCAAUGGCGAAGGCAGCUCUCUGGGACGGUACUGACGCUGAGACGCGAAAG